GAUGAACGCUAGCGGCAGGCCUAAUACAUGCAAGUCGAACGGAAUAUGAUUUUCGGAUUAUAUUUAGUGGCGCACGGGUGAGUAACACGUACAUAACUUACCCUCAAGAGGGGGAUAGCCUCGGGAAACUGAGCGUAAUACCCCAUAGUAUUAUUGAACGGCAUCGUUUGAUAAUUAAAGCUACGGCGCUUGAGGAUAGAUGUGCGUCUGAUUAGCUAGUUGGUAAGGUAACGGCUUACCAAGGCGACGAUCAGUAGGGGGCGUGAGAGCGUGGCCCCCCACACGGGUACGUGAGACACGGACCCGACUCCUACGGGAGGCAGCAGUAAGGAAUAUUGGUCAAUGCCCGGAACGGGUGAACCAGCACUGCCGCCGUGAAGGAUGACUG
rnacentral:rRNA from 1 species